UACGUAGGGUGCGAGCGUUAAUCGGAAUUACUGGGCGUAAAGUGUGCGCAGGCGGCCGAGCACGUCGAGUGUGAAAGCCCCGGGCUUAACCUGGGAACUGCGCUCGAAACUACUUGGCUGGAGUGUGGCAGAGGGAGGUGGAAUUCCACGUGUAGCGGUGAAAUGCGUAGAGAUGUGGAGGAACACCGAUGGCGAAGGCAGCCUCCUGGGCCAACACUGACGCUCAUGCACGAAAGCGUGGGGAGCAAACAGG
rnacentral:rRNA from 1 species